rnacentral:rRNA from 1 species
CAGCCGCCGCGGUAAAACGUAGGUGGCAAGCGUUGUCCGGAAUUAUUGGGCGUAAAGGGCUCGCAGGCGGUUUCUUAGGUCUGAUGUGAAAGCCCCCGGCUCAACCGGGGAGGGUCAUUGGAAACUGGGAAACUUGAGUGCAGAAGAGGAGAAUGGAAUUCCACGUGUAGCGGUGAAAUGCGUAGAGAUGUGGAGGAACACCAGUGGCGAAGGCGACUCUCUGGUCUGUAACUGACGCUGAGGAGCGAAAGCGUGGGGAGCGAACAGGAUUAGAUACCCCUGUAGUCCCUGUCUCUUAUAC